rnacentral:rRNA from 1 species
ACUAGUUACUAUAGCAAAGAGGAUACACCUGUUCCCAUUCCGAACACAGAAGUUAAGCUCUUUAGCGCCGAUGGUACUUGGUGGGAAGCUGCCUGGGAGAGUAGGACGUAGCCGCGU